rnacentral:rRNA from 1 species
UCGCGAAACCUUUGCAAUACACGAAAGUGUGACAGGGUCAUCCCGAGUGCCGACCGCUGAGGUUGGCUUUUACCCAGUCUAGAACGCUGGGGGAAUAAGGAGAGGGCAAGUCUGGUGUCAGCCGCCGCGGUAAUACCAGCUCUCCGAGUGGUGUGGACGUUUAUUGGGCCUAAAGCAUCCGUAGCUGGCUGAACAAGUCCCCUGUUAAACCCACCGAUUUAAUCGUUGGUCUGCGGGGGAUACUGCUCGGCUAGGGGACGAGAGAGGCAGACGGUAUUCCCGGGGUAGGGGUGAAAUCCUAUAAUCCCGAGAAGACCACCAGUGGCGAAGGCUGUCUGCUAGAACGCGCCCGACGGUGAGGGAUGAAAGCUGGGGGAGCGAACCGGAUUAGAUACCCGGGUAGUCCCAGCUGUAAACGAUGCAGACUAGGUGUUUGGACGGCCACGUGCCGUUCUAGUGCCGCAGGGAAGCUGUUAAGUCUGCCGCCUGGGGAGUACGAUCGCAAGAUUGAAACUUAAAGGAAUUGGCGGGGGAGCAACCG